rnacentral:tRNA from 1 species
GCCGGUGUAGCUCAGUGGUAGAGCAACUGUCUUGUAAACAGUAGGUCGUCGGUUCGAUCCCGACCAUCGGCU